UGAGGCAUGUGAGUAGUUGAUCAUAGCUUAAAAAAGUGUUUUGAACACAAUGGUGAAGUUAGAUUUACCAAAAAAUGCUUUCUUUACUACUUACAAGAGCCAUCAGCCUUAGUAACGAGAUUGGCUUUUAGAUGAAUGAAGGCCAUAGAUCUAGAUUAGGGAUCUUAAAAGUCAAGGGUGGAGAUGUAGCCACCCUUCUAAAAGUCUCCACUCAAUUGUAUAAGAGAGGCUUGAUUUUCCAAGCCCUCUUUCUCUCCUCUUUAGGGUGAAGGGCAAAGCCAUGCCAAAAUUUGGCCAAAAUCUUAAUCUUAAUUUUGAUUAGACUUAAAAUCUCAUUGUGAACCUUGUGAAUGUGUGUGUAUGGAUUUUGAAUUGUGGAGGAUGGUCAUUAGGUUUUAAAAGAUGCUUCAUUGAGGUAGAUAGUUCCCUCGGCCUCCCCAAAUACUCCUUCAAGGGCCUCGGAUUUUCCUCAAUCAGUCAUUCAGUUUUUUUUUUUUUGAUAAGAAAUUCUGAAUAGUUUUAUCUUUUAUUGAUAGCUUUCCAAC
rnacentral:lncRNA from 1 species